rnacentral:rRNA from 1 species
GUACCAUGGCGACGAUCUGUAGGCUGGUCUGAGAGGAUGAUCAGCCACACCGGGACUGAGACACGGCCCGGACUCCUACGGGAGGCGAGCAGUGGGGAAUAUUGGACAAUGGGGGAAACCCUGAUCCAGCCAUGCCGCGUGUGUGAAGAAGGCCUUUUGGUUGUAAAGCACUUUCUAGUCGAGGAGGAAAGGUUAGUAGUUAAGUACCUGCUAGCUGUGACGUUACUGACAGAAGAAGCACCGGCUAACUCCGUGCCAGCAGCCGCGGUAA